rnacentral:rRNA from 1 species
AUACAUAUGUCUCAAGCGUUACCCGGAAUCACUGGGUGUAAAGGGUUCGUAGGCGGUUUAAAAAGUUGAAUAUGAAAGACCGAGGCUCAACCUCGUGUUUGUCUUCAAAACUGUUAAAGUAGAAUCAGGGAGAGGUAAGCGGAAUUCUGUGUGUAGGGGUGCAAUCCGUAGAUACACAGAGGAACACCAAAAGCGAAGGCAGCUUACUGAAACUGUAUUGACGUUCAUGAACGAAAGCGUGGGUAGCGAAAAGGAUUAGAAACCCUAGUAGUCC